rnacentral:rRNA from 1 species
AUGAACGCUAGCGAUAGGCUUAACACAUGCAAGUCGAGGGGCAGCACAAGGUAGCUUGCUAUCUGGGUGGCGACCGGCGCACGGGUGCGUAACGCGUAUGCAACUUGCCCUAUACAGGAGGAUAACCCGUCGAAAGACGGACUAAUACUGCGUAUGCUCACAACUUGGCAUCAAGUGGUGAGGAAAGAAAUUCGGUAAAGGAUAGGCAUGCGUCCCAUUAGCUUGUUGGUGAGGUAACGGCUCACCAAGGCAACGAUGGGUAGGGGAACUGAGAGGUUUAUCCCCCACACUGGUACUGAGACACGGACCAGACUCCUACGGGAGGCAGCAGUGAGGAAUAUUGGUCAAUGGGCGCGAGCCUGAACCAGCCAAGUCGCGUGAAGGAUGACUGUCUUAUGGAUUGUAAACUUCUUUUAUACGGGAAUAACAAGAGUCACGUGUGACUCCCUGCAUGUACCGUAUGAAUAAGCAUCGGCUAACUCCGUG